rnacentral:rRNA from 1 species
AGGGUUUGAUCAUGGCUCAGGACGAACGCUGGCGGCGCGCCUAACACAUGCAAGUCGAACGAGAGAGAAGGAGCUUGCUUCUUCGAUCGAGUGGCGAACGGGUGAGUAACGCGUGAGGAACCUGCCUCAAAGAGGGGGACAACAGUUGGAAACGACUGCUAAUACCGCAUAAGCCCACGGAUCGGCAUCGAUCUGAGGGAAAAGGAGCAAUCCGCUUUGAGAUGGCCUCGCGUCCGAUUAGCUAGUUGGUGAGGUAAUGGCCCACCAAGGCAACGAUCGGUAGCCGGACUGAGAGGUUGAACGGCCACAUUGGGACUGAGACACGGCCCAG